CCAAAGGCUCUUUUCAGAGCCCCCACUCGGUCACAAGGUUCUGUAA
rfam:Xenopus tropicalis strain Nigerian scaffold_2556_contig_1, whole genome shotgun sequence.